rnacentral:misc_RNA from 1 species
UGGGCUCGAACGGCUCCACCCCCUUGCGGGGUAGCAGGGUUUCCCCUGCCGUUGAGAAGCCGUUCGAGCCCAGGUAAGGUUCUUCGCGUUGCGUCGAAUUGAACCACAUGCUCCACCGCUUGUGCGGGCCCCCGUCAAUUCCUUUGAGUUUCAGCCUUGCGACUGUACUCCCCAGGCGGCGUACUUAACGCGUUAGCUCCGGCACGGACCGACUGAACGGCCCACACCAAGUACGCAUCGUUUAGGGCGUGGACUAC